GGGAACUCUAGCCCUACCCACAGACAGACUCUGCCUUAAGCAAAAGGAAAGCAUCCUCAUCAGGUCACGAAAUCUGGUCACGAGCCAAAGAGGAAAGCACUGUCUCUUGUAGAACAUCUGCCGUGCACUCGUACUAACCAGCUGGUUUGCUUGAAGGAUCUCUGACACCGAAACAGCCAGACACAGAGCCUGGCUCAGAUCUGCCUCUUCAUCCUUGAUUCCCAACAGUGUACUACCAAAGAGAUGAUGAUUGUCCUACACAAAGAGAAAACGGUGAACAUUACAAGGAAAAUCAAAAUGUUCUUCCUACAAGUAUUUUCCAUUAAACUAUGAUAAAAUGUAAAAUUGUUACCA